CCAAGGAGUCUAACAUGUGCGCGAGUCAUGGGGUUCUGCGAAACCUAAAGGCGCAAUGAAAGUGAAGGCCAGCCGCAGGGCUGCCUAGGUGGGAUCCCGGCUCCCCCGAGCUGGGCGCACCACCGGCCCGUCUCGAUCGCGCCGUCGACGAGGCGGAGCGAGAGCGUACACGUUGGGACCCGAAAGAUGGUGAACUAUGCCUGAGUAGGAUGAAGCCAGAGGAAACUCUGGUGGAGGUCCGUAGCGAUUCUGACGUGCAAAUCGAUCGUCAAACUUGGGUAUAGGGGCGAAAGACUAAUCGAACCAUCUA
rnacentral:rRNA from 1 species